rnacentral:rRNA from 1 species
CGUAGGGGCAAGCGUUAUCCGGAUUUACUGGGUGUAAAGGGAGCGUAGACGGUGUGGCAAGUCUGAUGUGAAAGGCAUGGGCUCAACCUGUGGACUGCAUUGGAAACUGUCAUACUUGAGUGCCGGAGGGGUAAGCGGAAUUCCUAGUGUAGCGGUGAAAUGCGUAGAUAUUAGGAGGAACACCAGUGGCGAAGGCGGCUUACUGGACGGUAACUGACGUUGAGGCUCGAAAGCGUGGGGAGCAAACAGGAUU